GAAAAAAGAAGAAAUAAAUUUAAUAUAAUACAUAAAAUGUCAGUUAUUUUCUGACAGGGGAAUUAAGUUUUCCUUGGGGGAAGAAGAGGAGAUGAUGAUCACGGGGUGUAUUUCAUUGUUCGGAAAAACCCCUAGUGGGAAAUGGGAAAAUAUUGAAUAAGAUGUCAGCUGUGAACCUUUGGGAGAUGAAGAAAUGGAUAAUAAUUAUAUUAAAUUUUGCUGACCAAGAUCGAAAGAGUGGGUUGAUUCGGUUUUAAAGUAUUCCGUCAUAGGAAGCUGAAAGACCUCAUGAACAGCAGGACAGAAAGGAUUGUUAAAUAUUUAAAUAUGUGAAAUUUAUGAAAAUAUAUAUGGAUAUAGACUUUUGUAAUAAAGUGUGUAUUAUUUAA